rnacentral:lncRNA from 1 species
CCUCUUGCCACGGAGGGUACACGCUACUCUCGCCACCGCUCCACGCCCAUUUCGUGUUAUCUUAUUCCGGCCUUAGUCUGCCCGAGGCAAAGCUUACCCAUGACAAGGCAUGUGACCAGUUAAAGGGUCCUCGAUCAUCAAGCCUACAUACGCAUCCAAUCCUUAAUCAACAUGGGUAGAACAUCACCUGUUCCUAGCCCAAGUCCCGAUUUAAGUACUUCCAUCCUUAGGAUUGUUUGUGUUCCUUAGGAUGAAAAGAGCAUCACAGGGAACUUUGCAGUAAGAUCCCACCAUGCUCCCAAUGAAAAUAUAUUCUUGCAAGUAGAAGCCAUCCUUCCUCAGGAUAACCCCUGAGCUAGGCAUCAACGCAAAGGACAAGCUCUAUCCACAAGAUUUACCUCUAAGCAAGGCUAAGCAAUUUUGUAAAUCAUAUUUUGAUACUUCAUCAGAAGUAUCUAUAAAGGUAUGGAUAUCAAGGAAGGCAAUGCAUCAAAGGGUUCCAAGCAACUCCUAUAAACCUAAUGCACAUUUCACUAGACUUAAAGUGUGCGAAAAUUAUUUAAAAACAUAAGGAAGGGGUUGCAUGCACCGGGGCUUGCCUGGAAUAAACACUAUGUUAGUGUUUGUUAGAUGACGUCCACUUGACGACCAUCUUCAGGUUUGUCCAUCAGCUUCACCAUGCGGAGUAGCCCGCGCUUGGGGUCGACUUGGCUUGUCUUCCGCAUCGCGCGAUUAAUUAACGUACCUAAAUGAAAUGCAUUAUGCACAUGAAUGCAUAUAGACAGGAAUAUCAAAAACCCUAAAUAGUGCUAUGCGAUGGCGAAUUUAAACACCUAGCGGCGAGGCGUUGUACAAUUUUAUACGGAAACACUAGUUAUUAAUAUAUGACUACGCGCAAUAAUUACGCUUCUCUAGAUUAACCGAACCUAACGCGAACAUCACAAAACAACAAAUUAUACACCUUUAAUACAAUUAACCUAACCACAACUUAUCAGUUAAUUAAUUGAAUUCUAAACUUAUCCCUCGUUUUAUGAAUUAUACCACUUUGUUUUCCGAGAACUAAUUUAAUUUUACCAAACAAUUAUAAUUCGUCAAUAGUAAUAUUAACAAUGUUAUUGUUUAGACAUUUUAAAAUACUGAAUUUAACCUACGCGUCACCGAAAUACUACACUCUACAAAAUAGAACUAGCUCGAAUAAGUAGACUAGCUUACCGACGCAAGCUAACUAACAAAAUAAUCAACCGGCUUACCCCAUCCCAAGCCCGAUUCUACAAGAAUCACGACGAUCACCAAUUCAAACGUAACGUCGAGCACCUAACAAGCGUCGCCUACGCAUUUUACUACGUACACCAUCUAGCUCACUAUACCAAUCGCAUGCUGUGAUUCACACAUACCAUCACACGGAAAACACAGAUCACGACACACGGAUUGAGAUGAUGUCGAUCAUAAGGUAUUUUCCGAAUACCCUACCUGCUGUCUGAAGCACGGAUCCGGCGACGUAGAACCAAAGUUGUCGACGACGGGUUCCCUGAUGAGCGUCUGAGCACGAGGGGAGGUGUCCUGACAUAGUAGGCAACGACGGCGCAAUGGCGAGGAGCAAAGGGGUUGCUGUUCAAAUGACAGAGAAGGAAGCAUGUCCCUAGUUCGACCAGCAUCCAAUGGCGCAGCAUAGGUAUUGAGCUAAAGGCUGGGUGCAGGGACGCGAUGUGGCAUGGCAAAUCGAGCAGGACACAGCGUGCAGGGAAAUGGACGUCGAGAAAGCUGCCGCAGGGGAAAUCGGCAUGGUGAGCACAGGGUUUUCACGGCGCUCGGUGCGGCGAGGAAUCUCCAUGGCGAGGUCCGAGCAGAAGAAAAGGGCGCAACACUAGGGAAGGAGCUACGCGCCGCUGGAAAAGAAUCAGAGCCGAACUCAUCGCAUCCUGGUGCGCAGUAGAGCAGGUGUCCAAGGAAGAGACAAGAAGCCGGGAGCAAGAAGCAAGGAUGGAACUCGACAAGGUCGCGGCACAGGAAACUGGGCAGGAGCGUGCAACGCAGGGAGAGGGCACUGCUGCGCGCGGCAAGGAAACUCAGGACAGAGCAAGCGUGCGUCCAUGGGCGAGCGCAGGGAGCUCCGACAGCGCGCGGCAGAGGAGCAGAGGGAGCUCCAUGAGCUGGCAGAGGGCGCUCGGCCAUGGAUGAGGCGAGGAGCCGGGGCGAGCAGAGAUAAAGCUGUCGGCUUGAGGGAGCAGGACACCAGCCGGUCCAGCGACAGUGUCAGCAGCCGCUCGUUGCCCAGGGCCUUGCCCCGCCGUCGCCCCACGUGAUGUCCAGCUCCUGGUCCAAGCUGCCGCCGCGAAGGAGCAGAGCCGGGCGAGCAGAAAUCCGGCGCCGAGCAUAGGAGGAACGACUGGGCUGGGCGAAACUUGGAGGACGGCCGAGCUAGGCGAGCUUCAGGGAGAAGAAGGAAGUCUGGGCGCUAGGGAAUCGAGUGCCCCAGCAUCUGCCCGAAACAGCCGAGCAAUCUGCCGCACGAGCACGCAUAGCGCGCAUAUAAAGCGAACAGGGGCGGCGGCAAAAAUAUCACGCAGUGAGGUACGGCGGCUAAGGAGAGGAUGAGAACAACUAAGACACAGGAAAAUCUUGCGCCGGCUGAACGGACGAAGGAGAGAAGAUGAGCAUGUCGACAGAUGGAGGAUAAGGCUCCUGGGCGAGCACCAAUACGGGAGAGGAGAGAUAUGGAUGCGUGCCUGGCUUUGACGAUAGGAAGCAGAGAGAGGGCGGUGAGGAUAGAGGAUAUUUUCUUUUUUUUUCUCUCUUUUUUUUAGAUUUUCUUUUCUCUCUUUCUUUUAUCAGUAAUCGAAGAUAUUUUGAUCAUGAUUUCUAGCAAUAACAAAAAGGUCGACCGUAUUGCGACACAGUUUGAUUUGAUUCGAAAUCUAAUAAAUUUACCUACGGUCUGAACACAUGAUUCCAUGGUCACGGUAAUUUACCAGAGAAUCAAAGCUCAAUUAUAAUUCUCGGAUCACUAAACGGAAAAUCAGAGAUUAACGAUUCUAACUAAAUUUCAUUUAGAUAGUUUUCGUGACUAUUUUGGGCAAGAUAUAAACGGACUGGAUAACGGAUGCAGUAUUUGAGACAAUACUGGUUUAGUCGAUCUCGGAUAAAAAUUUAUCCGAUGUCUAGGCACAGUUGAUUUUAUUAUUUUACCGAGUGUGCUGAAAAAUAAAUUAGAUCAUCGCCUCGCACACGAUUUUUUUCUCGGACAGUGCGCGAUUUAGAUUAUUUUGCUCCGAACAUUUCUGUCGUCGAGUUCAAAAUAAAUUUGUUCGGGAUAAAAAGGUGUAGAAUGAGGUCGAGCUUCUGAAUUCGGAUUCGCGCGACGAUGAAUUUUAAUUAAUCAUCGGACGCACCGACGACAUUCCGAACAUCACGAAAAUUUCGGAAGAGCCCGGAUAGACGAAAAAUAAAAAUGAUGUCGCACUCGCGACAGAUGAAACAGACGUGAUAUUAAAAUCGCGAUACACGAAGACGAUUAAAAUUUAACAUCUGUUUCAUUCACUGAUAUUACGUACUUAAAUCCACACUCAUUGUCGAGCGGAAUAUAAACACCUGGGGUGUUACAGCCCUCCCCCCUUAAAAGAAUCUCGUCCCGAGAUUCGGAGUGAAAGACUUCUAAGGAUAGAGAAGCAUGUACCCCAUAUCCAUAUCAGCGAUAACCCUAAGACAGUUUCAAGCAAAGGCAAGUGUCUCAGGAUAUUGUUUCUUUAGUGGACAUAGCAUGCAUCGCCAUAAGCUAAUUUAGAAAUGUCCACCAAUAGAGACGAUAUCUACCAGAGGUACACAUAAUGUUCCAUGUGUGCAGUUUGCUUUUUCUGAUGACACUGUACUAUCUGAGUCGGUUGAGGAAGCAGCAGAUAUGCGAUUUUACCCAAACAGAAUCAGAUGCAACCUCUUGGGUAAAACACACAGAAAGAGGUUUACCAACAAAUGGUUAUGGUAAGUUCAUAGCACACGAGACGAGUGUGAAUGUCGAACAACAUCACAGUUAACUCGUGUUAGCCAAAAAAAUCCAAGUUCAAGAAAAAUGAUAGAGACUCGAGAAAAUAUCAAUGAAGAGAUCCGUUGAUGUUGACUUCACGACCAACCCAUUUCAUCAAAUACUUAGCACGGCUCGACUUGAUCACACAUGCUGGAAAAGCACACGUGACGCGAUCGAGGCAUGACUAGAGUGAUGACUAGGUUGUUACCAGUCGGCUUAACUUGAUUUUUGCAAGUACUUCCUUUAGAGGGGUUGUACAAAAGUGAGUUUAGACAACUCGAUAAAAUGAUCUCUAAACUCAACCUUUGUUCACAAAGCAGUUACAAGUUAGUAAAACCAGCUUGUUGAACUACUUUUGACAUUGAGCAGGUCCUCUCAGUACCAUCGGUAAGCCAAUGGUUGAGAGCUCUCUUUGUUAACAAGAGAUUAUGUAUUUGGGUAGAAAUCCAUUUGGUCAUGUUGUUCAUCCGUUUCUUCAUGCAAGAUGAAUAGACUCGGUUAGGGAAUACAUGGAUUAAUAAGAAAGUGAAUGAACAAACUCCUGCAUCUUAGCAGCAGGGAACAAACCUCUAUUUUGAGAACUAAUUAGCUGUCUCUCAACACUAAAAAGCUCCAAGGCUUCACCUUUACACAAAGGAUGCAAAGGGAACGUGUAUGUGUGAAGUCACCAUCAAAGUCAAGGAAAAGAGGCCACACAUGAAAGGGGUAUGCCCUUUUAUCCAAUAGAGAUGAUAGAUGUUGCUUGAUCACUUGACAAACAACAUAGAAAUCGUUUCAAGGAAGAUAUCCACGAAAGACAACACAUCAGUGUAAUUCUAUAACGGAUCAUGAUUAGAGACUUCGAUAUCGGCAUGUGCCAAGCAGCAGAACCUUGCGUGUACAUUCACAAGGGGCUCUCAGUUUCACCGCAGUACCAUAAGUCCUUAACCAUGACACCAUUACAAAACUAGCACCAAUAAUGAAUCUCACGUGGUAAGAACAAUUUGUGCAGAGAUAACAUAUCGACAUAGUCUUAUAAUGGAUUAUGACUACUAACGGUGAUACCAGCGCGUACCAAGUAGCGCAACCAUGUGCUGAUCACCCACAGGAGGCCCUCGGUUUUGGCGCGGCAUCCUCAAUUUUAGUCAUAACGCCAAUACCAGACAUAACCAAUAAGAAAUCUCACGUGACACAAAUGAAUUGAGCAAGGGUGACAAUAUACAAAGAUACUCUACCUAUCAAAAAGGUUACAAGUAGAGAGCCAAAUAGAUCAUGGCCCGAUGAAAUAAACAAGGUAUGGCCAUAACCUAAACUUGUUAAUGAAGGGAGUACGAUGGGAGACUGUUAAUUCAGCCACAAGCAUAUUUCUAUGCACAUCGUAGAGAUCACAAGGUCAAGGAUUAAGUUGAUAUGCCUUCGAUAAAUAGGGGGAAACCAAAGGCAUCAAUUUCAAGAAAAUACUCGAGCAGGUCUUUUCUGGGUUAGGUUGAUGGGUCGACAAUGCGAUAAGGGAGAAUUCGAAUUUGGGUCAUAGUUCACUAACUAAGAAUAUGACCUAGUUUUUCGGUUUAAGCAGACAAACUACCAACCUUCUAUCGGUACAUCAAGUACCAAUGUAAAUACAUAUAAUACCUAAAUAGAUUACCUAAGAAUGGAGGACACCUAUUUCAUCGAAGUUCCUAAUUCAGCAUUACACCAUAUUAUCUACAACCAAUGGUUUCUGGAAUAAAGAUAAGAGAAGCAUCUUAGGUGUAUAGGUGACAAACACGAUGCAACAAUCAGGAUGCAUGCUCGUCCUAUACGUCCUCACAAGUUUUUGCCAACAUAAUGUGGCAAUAACGUUCUAUAUCGGUGGCGUACUUACGACUCUCACGGUAUUUUGCUAGUCGUCAGCUACACAUACGUGUUCGAGGUUAGUGUACCUGCAGAAAAUUUCAUCACAGCCCAUUUUCCCAAUGAUGCAAGUCACACAUGACAUUUUAUCACAUUUUAUACUCCAUAUAUUGCUAUAUGGAGGCCAGCUCAUCAUUAAGCGCCGAGCCACGCAUAGGCGCUGUUGCCACACUUUAACCAUAGGGCAACUCAUUAUGGUAACUCACCUUCUUACCUUAGCGUAGGUGUGUCGUUACAAGUACAAUACACUUCUCAGAAUUCCCAUGUCUGUAUACCCAUACACAUCCAUGGGGUACUGAAUCCCAAAAAAAUAAAUACUCCACAUCGUAGCCUUCAUAUAUACAUAUGUAGAACAUGUAUAUAGUCAGGCGCCACAAUUAAGCACACCCCUAGACCGACGUUUGUUCGGUCAUGCUCUCACAUCUCACCUUACCUUGAGCGUCGAUCCAUUCACAACUGAAUGGCCUAAAAAUAACAAUACACAUGUAUGCAAUACCCCCGAUUGUGGGUUAGUGGUUUUGAACUAAGCCACCUGAUAGUCCUUAAUUUAGGGCUUAAGAGAGGAUGUCGCUAGCAUUAUCAAAACUGUUUUUCAAAGCCAAACAAUGUGUUUAGUUGAAAAUAGUUUUUUUUUGAAACCAAAACUUUUGUUUUGAAAAUACGUAUGUGACCGUAUAUACUUAAUCCAGCUCCGAUACCAGCUGUGACAGAACAUCCAAGUUAUUGGGCCCACAUGCACCUGUCCUUGUCCCAAAGACCUCAGACAACCAUGCAUGUGCACCAGAUAACUCAAUAGGAUCUGUCCGAUUGCCCCAAGGACAUCGGAUAAACCACUUUCAACCAGAACCGCGGGAUUAAGUAAUACAAAUCACACACCCCAAUAUUGUUGCAGCGGAAAUCUUACUACCAAAUUUUACAGGUUACAAAAGUUUUAUAAUAUUUUAUCGGAGUGAUUACAAAAGUAUAAGUUUGAAAUAUAUGCUAGCUCAAAUGACCAUCCUCAGUAAGAAGAUAAAGACGGGGUAUACUUAUAUAAGAAGGCCGAGCCCACCGGCACUUAACACCAUCACAGCAGCACAAAGUUAUAUCCUGAAAAACAACAGGGAAUAAAACCCUGAGUAUGGAAUUACUCAGCAAGACUUACCUGACUAAAGAAAAGACUCUCAAGGGUAUGCUGGAAUUGGGAAUCAAGGAGAGGCUUUAGCAAGAAUCAACUUAGAUACUUUUGCAGAAAUAGCUUACUAAAGUGAGUCCUUACUUUCAAUAUUUUAACGCCAAAUUAAGUAUUAAUAGACGCUGUUUGCAGCUGGUCUAAUUUCACCAUCUCAUCAAUACAACAUCAUUUUUAUUCAUAAUGUUCACAUCCAGACUUAGGUUGUAGGUCAGUGACCAAGUCUUCAUAACCGCGAAGGUACGGCGAUCCGAAUCGAUUAUACUCAGCUGAGGAUCUCCAAUCACACGACAUAUGUAGCACUUAACCCUUGCAUAUGUCAACCCGCCACCGGGGUUCUUAAGACCGGAUCAGGUUCACGCAAACCGAGAGCACAGAUACACCACCGUCCGGCCUCUUGCCACGGAGGGUACACGCUACUCUCGCCAUCGCUCCACGCCCAUUUCGUGUUAUCUUAUUCCGGCCUUAGUCUGCCCGAGGCAAAGCUUACCCAUGACGAGGCAUGUGACCAGUUAAAGGGUCCUCGAUCAUCAAGCCUACAUACGCAUCCAAUCCUUAAUCAACCUGGGUAGAACAUCACCUGUUCCUAGCCCAAGUCCCGAUUUAAGUACUUCCAUCCUUAGGAUUGUUUGUGUUCCUUAGGAUGAAAAGAGCAUCACAGGGAACUUUGCAGUAAGAUCCCACCAUGCUCCCAAUGAAAAUAUAUUCUUGCAAGUAGAAGCCAUCCUUCCUCAGGAUAACCCCUGAGCUAGGCAUCAACGCAAAGGCAAGCUCUAUCCACAAGAUUUACCUCUAAGCAAGGCUAAGCAAUUUUGUAAAUCAUAUUUUGAUACUUCAUCAGAAGUAUCUAUAAAGGUAUGGAUAUCAAGGAAGGCAAUGCAUCAAAGGGUUCCAAGCAACUCCUAUAAACCUAAUGCACAUUUCACUAGACUUAAAGUGUGCGAAAAUUAUUUGAAAACACAAGGAAGGGGUUGCAUGCACCGGGGCUUGCCUGGAAUAAACACUAUGUUAGUGUUUGUUAGAUGACGUCCACUUGACGACCAUCUUCAGGUUUGUCCAUCAGCUUCACCAUGCGGAGUAGCCCGCGCUUGGGGUCGACUUGGCUUGUCUUCCGCAUCGCGCGAUUAAUUAACGUACCUAAAUGAAAUGCAUUAUGCACAUGAAUGCAUAUAGACAGGAAUAUCAAAAACCCUAAAUAGUGCUAUGCGAUGGCGAAUUUAAACACCUAGCGGCGAGGCGUUGUACAAUUUUAUACGAAAACACUAGUUAUUAAUAUAUGACUACGCGCAAUAAUUACGCUUCUCUAGAUUAACCGAACCUAACGCGAACAUCACAAAACAACAAAUUAUACACCUUUAAUACAAUUAACCUAACCACAACUUAUCAGUUAAUUAAUUGAAUUCUAAACUUAUCCCUCGUUUUAUGAAUUAUACCACUUUGUUUUCCGAGAACUAAUUUAAUUUUACCAAACAAUUAUAAUUCGUCAAUAGUAAUAUUAACAAUGUUAUUGUUUAGACAUUUUAAAAUACUGAAUUUAACCUACGCGUCACCGAAAUACUACACUCUACAAAAUAGAACUAGCUCGAAUAAGUAGACUAGCUUACCGACGCAAGCUAACUAACAAAAUAAUCAACCGGCUUACCCCAUCCCAAGCCCGAUUCUACAAGAAUCACGACGAUCACCAAUUCAAGCGUAACGUCGAGCACCUAACAAGCGUCGCCUACGCAUUUUACUACGUACACCAUCUAGCUCACUAUACCAAUCGCAUGUUGUGAUUCACACAUACCAUCACACGGAAAACACAGAUCACGACACAUGGAUUGAGAUGAUGUCGAUCAUAAGGUAUUUUCCGAAUACCCUACCUGCUGUCUGAAGCACGGAUCCGGCGACGUAGAACCAAAGUUGUCGACGACGGGUUCCCUGAUGAGCGUCUGAGCACGAGGGGAGGUGUCCUGACAUAGUAGGCAACGACGGCGCAAUGGCGAGGAGCAAGGGGGUUGCUGUUCAAAUGACAGAGAAGGAAGCAUGUCCCUAGUUCGACCAGCAUCCAAUGGCGCAGCAUAGGUAUUGAGCUAAAGGCUGGGUGCAGGGACGCGAUGUGGCAUGGCAAAUCGAGCAGGACACAGCGUGCAGGGAAAUGGACGUCGAGAAAGCUGCCGCAGGGGAAAUCGGCAUGGUGAGCACAGGGUUUUCACGGCGCUCGGUGCGGUGAGGAAUCUCCAUGGCGAGGUCCGAGCAGAAGAAAAGGGCGCGACACUAGGGAAGGAGCUACGCGCCGCUGGAAAAGAAUCAGAGCCGAACUCAUCGCAUCCUGGUGCGCAGUAGAGCAGGUGUCCAAGGAAGAGACAAGAAGCCGGGAGCAAGAAGCAAGGAUGGAACUCGACAAGGUCGCGGCACAGGAAACUGGGCAGGAGCGUGCAACGCAGGGAGAGGGCACUGCUGCGCGCGGCAAGGAAACUCAGGACAGAGCAAGCGUGCGUCCAUGGGCGAGCGCAGGGAGCUCCGACAGCGCGCGGCAGAGGAGCAGAGGGAGCUCCAUGAGCUGGCAGAGGGCGCUCGGCCAUGGAUGAGGCGAGGAGCCGGGGCGAGCAGAGAUAAAGCUGUCGGCUUGAGGGAGCAGGACACCAGCCGGUCCAGCGACAGUGUCAGCAGCCGCUCGUUGCCCAGGGCCUUGCCCCGCCGUCGCCCCACGUGAUGUCCAGCUCCUGUGUCAGCGUCCUCCACCUGAUGGCGAACGCUGCUCGUUGCAGAGAGGAACGAGAGGGAGAAGACAACCAGGAAGGAGAGGUGAGUUCUGUAUUUUUAUUCCCAAAACUGUCUUUCUCAGUACAAGUGCUACUAUUUAUUACAACCAGCUAUUAAGCGCCGGCCCACCCUUCAACGGAUCCACUCGGCACCGGACCAUUUGCUAUUGGGCUUCCUUGUUCGCCGGCCCAUCACUUCAUCAGUUCCUGCUCUCCUGUCGUCCCCCAACUCCAGGUCGCCUACAGGAAUACUGACAUUCCCCUCCUGUUGAGAGACAGCUUGUCCCCAAGCGUCGGCCCCUGGAAAACGAGCGUGCAAAGCUGCUUCAUCUUCCCAAGAAUCCAGCGCUUCAUCAGACUCGGACCAACGUACACGUACUUGGGGCAGCAGGGCUCCACUACGAGAUAUCACCCGCCUGUCCAAAAUCUGAAGAGGAACACGGGGAGCAGCGAAGCUGUCUGGCAAUGUGGUGCUGACUUGGUGAUGCCCUUUGGAUUGUUUAAGCUGAGACACAUGGAAUACAGGAUGUAUUCGCGCUGUCGAGGGCAACUGCAACUUGUAAGCAGCCUUGCCCACUCGCUGUAAGACUGUGUAUGGUCCAAAGUAACGAAAACUCAGCUUAUGAUUGGCCCGUGUAGCAACUGAUGACUGUACGUAAGGCUGGAGCUUCAGAUAAACAAGAUCGCCGAUACUGAAUUCCCGAUCAGACCUGCCCUUAUCUGCUUGUGCCUUUGUCCUCUGUUGAGCUCGCAAGAGAUGCUGUCGGACAAGUCGCACCAUCAACUCUCUGUCAGAUAACCAGGACUGAAGAUCAUCCGAAGUAGGAACAUUCUCAGUUGUAAAUCCAAAAUGGCGAGGAACAUGUCCAUAAAGUACUUCAAAGGGAGUCCGACCCAAAGAGGAAUGGAAAUUGGUAUUGUACCAAUACUCAGCCAAGGGCAACCAUGCCGACCAUUUGGAAGGACAGGAAUGCACAAAGCAGCGAAGAUACGUCUCUAAGCACUGGUUCACCCUUUCCGUCUGCCCGUCCGUCUGAGGAUGAUAUGAUGAACUCAUCUUUAGUGUAGUACCCGACAGAUGAAACAACUCUUGCCAAAACCGACUUGUAAACACCUUGUCACGAUCCGACACAAUGGCUGUGGGAAGGCCAUGGAGCCUGUAAACUGAAUCUAAGAACAGUUGGGCUACCUUGAGUGCAGAGAAUGGAUGCAACAAUGGUAGAAAAUGUGCAUAUUUGGAAAAAUGAUCCACCACCACCAAGAUUGUAUCAGCACGAUUAGAGCGAGGAAGACCCUCCACAAAAUCCAUUCCGACCACUUGCCAUGACUGUUCUGGUACUGGAAGGGGUUGCAAUAACCCUGGGUACUUGCUCUUGUCAGACUUAGCCUGUUGGCACACAGAACAAUUGGCCACAAAUUCUUUGACUGCUGAUUUCAUUCCAACCCAUGCAAAGAUUUGCUUGAUCUUGCGAUAAGUAACAGGAAAACCCGAAUGCCCCCCAAGAGGGCUGUCAUGUAGUGCUGACAUAAUGUUCUUGUGAAUACUUGGAUCAUUACCAACCCAUACCCUGCCUUUAUAACGUAUAAUGCCCGAGUGCAAAGUGUAGUGGGUGGAAUCAGACUGAUUGGUAGCAAGAGCAGCCAAAAGAGCUUGUGCUUUAACAUCUUGAACAUAGCUAUCAGCAACCUGAAGUAGCCAUUGAGGAACUGCAGUAGAUAGACUGAACAAGGCGGGUUCAACAGGUGGCAUGCGAGACAAGGCAUCAGCUGCCCCAUUUUCCACCCCUUUCUUGUACACCACCCUAUAUUGGAGACCCAAUAACUUGGAGAACACUCUCUGUUGCCAAUGAGUGUUGAGCUUUUGUUCAGAUAAAUGAGACAAACUUCUGUGGUCAGUAAAGAUAAUAAAUUCGGCAUGUUGUAGGUAUUGUCUCCAUUGAUUGACUGCAAGGAGAAUAGCAAGAUACUCCUUUUCAUAGGCUGAUAGUCCUUGGUUCUUGGGUCCUAAGGCCUUACUGACAAAGGCCAAUGGGUGACCUUCUUGUAGCAACACAGCACCAAUACCAUACCCCGAUGUGUCACACUCAAUAGCAAAAGGAACUUCAAAGUUAGGCAAUGCUAAGACAGGGGCAGAACAUAGUGAUUGUUUAAGUGUAUCAAAUGCCACUGAAUGAUCCUGAGUCCAUACAAACAAAACCCCCUUCUUUAGCAGCUCAGUCAAGGGCUUGGCAAUCAUGCCAAAAUGCUUGACAAAUUUUCUAUAGUACCCAACCAGUCCAAGAAAUCCUCUGAGUUCCUUGCAGUUAGUAGGCACAGGCCACGAUUUAACAGCCUCAACCUUAGCAGGAUCUGUAGACACUCCUUUGCUGCAUAUAACAUGGCCUAGGUAAGCAAUUUGCUGUUGUGCAAAAGCACAUUUGGAGAGCUUGAUAUGCCAUUGAUCUGUUAAAAGCAAUUGCAGGACCUGUCCCAAAUGAACAAGAUGACUCUCCCAGGUUUUACUAUAUACCAAAAUAUCAUCAAAAAACACCAGUGCGCACUUCCUUAGUAAAGGAGCUAGGGUGGAAUUCAUGGCUCCUUGGAAAGUAGCUGGUGCCCCAGACAACCCAAAUGCCAUGACUCGAAAUUCAAAGUGCCCAUGAUGCGUUUGGAAUGCUGUCUUAUAUUGAUCUUGUGGGUCCAUUCUGAUUUGGUGAAAACCAGCCCUCAAGUCUAGAGUAGAGAACCAACAGGCACCAUGGAGCUCGUCCAGAAACUCAUCUAUCACUGGCACUGGAAACUUUGUUUUGAGUGUAAGAGCAUUGAGGUGACGAUAGUCCACACAAAACCUGUAGGUUUGGUCCUUUUUCUUAACCAAAAUGACAGAAGAAGAAAAUGCACUCUUGCUUGGCUGAAUAAUGCCUGACUGCAACAUUUCAGAAACUUGAUUUUCAAUUUCUGUCUUCAGAGCAGGUGCAUACCGGUAGGGUCUCAUCUGCACGGGCCUAGCACCAGGUAUCAAUGGAAUUUGAUGAUCACACUCUCUGGCAGGUGGCAUGCCUUUGGGUACAUCAAAAACUGAAAAAUACUGCUGUAUCAAAUCCUGUAUAGCAGCAGGUAGCUUCUGCAAUAUAGUAUGUUCUUUGUCAGAGAGCUCGAACAAGGUGCAGACCUGGACCAUUGAUUCCAGCAGUACUGACGAAGUAAGACCAUGAAGGGUUACAUAAGUUCCUUUAAUAGGAAUGGUCAACCACUUAUGUGCCCAAUGAACCAUCAUAGGACUGUGAGCCUCGAGCCAAUCCAUACCAAUAAUCAGGUCAUACGUAGAUAGGGGCAGCACCCUUAAGUUGGAAGAGAAUGGCACACCACUCAAGGACCAGGAAGCGUCCAAAGCUUGGCUGGAGCAGCACAAGUAAGAACCGUUUGCUAUCUGAACAUUAACAGGUUUGUCCAAUUCGACAAUAUUGGGCAAGAUAGAAGCCACUGUUGUACUAACAAAAGAAUGGGAACUGCCUGAAUCCAAUAAGGCCAAUACGUCCAUUCCAGCAAUAUGUCCCACAAAGCGCAUGGUUCGCGUAGCAUGAACUCCUUGCUCAGCAGCCUUGGACAAGAAUGAAUUCAACUCAAAAGUGUCCUCCUUCUCCAGGAUCUCGGGGUCAUCAGUAUCAGGCAAAGGUACCAUUUGCCAUAACUCUUCCACCAUUUGCAACUGAAUAGUGUCAGCACAUUUAUGACCCUUGGCAUACUGUAGUCCACACUUGUAGCACAGCCCUUGUGCUUUGCGGUAAGCAUACAAGGAUGCUAACCGAGAGUCAGUAGUAGAAUUAGGGGCCCCUUGUGGUCGCUUGUCCUCCAUCCUCGCAUUAGGCACCACCUUGGAGUCCUUAGGCAUCAUCGAUUGUGCUUGAGUGGACUGCAUAGAUGGAGACGACAGCCAGUUUUGAGGCCACCGGCGCGGCUCACGUUUCUUGAUCAUCUCACCAGCUUCUUCCUGCAAUUGAGCCAAUACAGCAGCAGUAUCGAAAUCCUUGGGACGUUGAAUCAUUACUACUGCCUUAAUAUCGUCCCUUAAGCCAUCAACAAACUUCAUCGUAUAAUAAAGAGGGUCAGACAUGUGCUGAUAUGCAUUGAGUUUGUCUACUAACUGUGAAAACUCAUCGACAUAAGAUGACACCGAUCCUGACUGUCUGAUAUGGAAGAGCUGUCUAAGUAAAACUUGGUGUUGGUCCUUGGCAAAACGCUCUCGGAUCAAAGCACAAAAACUCUCCCAAGAUAUAUAACCCAACUGAUUCUCCACUGACUGCAACCACCUAGCUGCAGGCCCCACAAAUUGCAUGGAAGCGACCUCAAUCCACAUGACAUAAUCGACCUCAUACAUGCGAAAAUAGGCCUCACAUCGGGACUGCCAUAACUUGGGGUUUUCGCCAUCGAAGGAAGGAAAAUGGAGCUUAGGCAGAUUACCCAAAGGCCGGCUAUGGUGAUCCCCAACCCCCUGUGGCCCAGUACGAUGUCCCAAGGGCACAUCAAAUGUCCGUGGAAAUAAAGUAUGACGAGGAGGUGGGCCAGGGUCGUGCAUACCAUUGUUCGGGAGAUGGUGAUGGAAAUGGGUAUUUCCAAAACCAGUCCCCCGAUGUAGAAGAGGAGAGCCAUGCCCCAUGGGCCCGUCGGUGUGGUUCGCGGACGCAGGUUGGCGCUCCGCUGCCGACGCGAAUGAGCCAAGUACCCCAGCGUGGGACGCUGGUUCUUCGACCGCUGCGCGCUCCAGGAACCGAGCGACCUUGUGGAGCUCCGCCUUGAUGCCCUCCACGGAGGAAUGGAUGUCGUGGACCGACCCUUCGAUGCGGGGACGCCAUUCUUCGAAGGAGGAAGUGAUGUUCUCCAGGGAUGCGACACGGCCCGAUGCAUCCGCCGCCAGCGCGUCGAGACGAUCCAUCGCAACCGCCUGCAUCUCCGCCAUCUGGCCGUCGAGAUGCGCCCGUAAGUCGCGCCCCAGGUCCGCUCGGGGCAGAACACCUUCCACCCCAUCAAAUUUGGCAGACAAUGACGCAAUAUUCUCGGAGUUCUUCCCCACGGUAGACUCCAAUUGCUUCCAGCGCUCCUCAGUAGACUCCAGCCGAUCGCACAUCUGCUGCAGGAGUCUUGAUUGCGUCGCCAGCGUCUUCGAUUGGGCCUCAAUGGACUUGGACUGUGCGGCUAUUGCCGCCGCAACGCCGGGGUCUGCUGCGCCCGACAUCUUGGCCCUCCUGGUGUAGUGGAAGGUCGUCGCCAGGGCCGGAACCAGACCUUUGAUACCAAUUGUCAGCGUCCUCCACCUGAUGGCGAACGCUGCUCGUUGCAGAGAGGAACGAGAGGGAGAAGACAACCAGGAAGGAGAGGUGAGUUCUGUAUUUUUAUUCCCAAAACUGUCUUUCUCAGUACAAGUGCUACUAUUUAUUACAACCAGCUAUUAAGCGCCGACCCACCCUUCAACGGAUCCACUCGGCACCGGACCAUUUGCUAUUGGGCUUCCUUGUUCGCCGGCCCAUCACUUCAUCAGUUCCUGCUCUCCUGUCGUCCCCCAACUCCAGGUCGCCUACAGGAAUACUGACAUUUCUGAUGGCGAACGCUGCUCGUUGCAGAGAGGAACGAGAGGGAGAAGACAACCAGGAAGGAGAGGUGAGUUCUGUAUUUUUAUUCCCAAAGCUGUCUUUCUCAGUACAAGUGCUACUAUUUAUUACAACCAGCUAUUAAGCGCCGGCCCACCCUUCAACGGAUCCACUCGGCACCGGACCAUUUGCUAUUGGGCUUCCUUGUUCGCCGGCCCAUCACUUCAUCAGUUCCUGCUCUCCUGUCGUCCCCCAACUCCAGGUCGCCUACAGGAAUACUGACAUCCUGGUCCAAGCUGCCGCCGCGAAGGAGCAGAGCCGGGCGAGCAGAAAUCCGGCGCCGAGCAUAGGAGGAACGACUGGGCUGGGCGAAACUUGGAGGACGGCCGAGCUAGGCGAGCUUCAGGGAGAAGAAGGAAGUCUGGGCGCUAGGGAAUCGAGUGCCCCAGCAUCUGCCCGAAACAGCCGAGCAAUCUGCCGCACGAGCACGCAUAGCGCGCAUAUAAAGCGAACAGGGGCGGCGGCAAAAAUAUCACGCAGUGAGGUACGGCGGCUAAGGAGAGGAUGAGAACAACUAAGACACAGGAAAAUCUUGCGCCGGCUGAACGGACGAAGGAGAGAAGAUGAGCAUGUCGACAGAUGGAGGAUAAGGCUCCUGGGCGAGCACCAAUACGGGAGAGGAGAGAUAUGGAUGCGUGCCUGGCUUUGACGAUAGGAAGCAGAGAGAGGGCGGUGAGGAUAGAGGAUAUUUUCUUUUUUUUUCUCUCUUUUUUUUAGAUUUUCUUUUCUCUCUUUCUUUUAUCAGUAAUCGAAGAUAUUUUGAUCAUGAUUUCUAGCAAUAACAAAAAGGUCGACCGUAUUGCGACACAGUUUGAUUUGAUUCGAAAUCUAAUAAAUUUACCUACGGUCUGAACACAUGAUUCCAUGGUCACGGUAAUUUACCAGAGAAUCAAAGCUCAAUUAUAAUUCUCGGAUCACUAAACGGAAAAUCAGAGAUUAACGAUUCUAACUAAAUUUCAUUUAGAUAGUUUUCGUGACUAUUUUGGGCAAGAUAUAAACGGACUGGAUAACGGAUGCAGUAUUUGAGACAAUACUGGUUUAGUCGAUCUCGGAUAAAAAUUUAUCCGAUGUCUAGGCACAGUUGAUUUUAUUAUUUUACCGAGUGUGCUGAAAAAUAAAUUAGAUCAUCGCCUCGCACACGAUUUUUUUCUCGGACAGUGCGCGAUUUAGAUUAUUUUGCUCCGAACAUUUCUGUCGUCGAGUUCAAAAUAAAUUUGUUCGGGAUAAAAAGGCGUAGAAUGAGGUCGAGCUUCUGAAUUCGGAUUCGCGCGACGAUGAAUUUUAAUUAAUCAUCGGACGCACCGACGACGUUCCGAACAUCACGAAAAUUUCGGAAGAGCCCGGAUAGACGAAAAAUAAAAAUGAUGUCGCACUCGCGACAGAUGAAACAGACGUGAUAUUAAAAUCGCGAUACACGAAGACGAUUAAAAUUUAACAUCUGUUUCAUUCACUGAUAUUACGUACUUAAAUCCACACUCAUUGUCGAGCGGAAUAUAAACACCUGGGGUGUUACAGUAAUUAUACUAGCGCGGGAGUUCGUUGGGGUUUCUUGCCAUUUUCCGGCCGAAACUUUUAUCCUUAGUGC